CCUACGGGUGGCAGCAGUCGAGAAUCAUUCACAAUGGGGGAAACCCUGAUGGUGCGACGCCGCGUGGGGGAAUGAAGGUCUUCGGAUUGUAAACCCCUGUCAUGUGGGAGCAAAUUAAAAAGAUAGUACCACAAGAGGAAGAGACGGCUAACUCUGUGCCAGCAGCCGCGGUAAUACAGAGGUCUCAAGCGUUGUUCGGAAUCACUGGGCGUAAAGCGUGCGUAGGCUGUUUCGUAAGUCGUGUGUGAAAGGUGCGGGCUGAACCCGCGGACGGCACAUGAUACUGCGAGACUAGAGUAAUGGAGGGGGAACCGGAAUUCUCGGUGUAGCAGUGAAAUGCGUAGAUAUCGAGAGGAACACUCGUGGCGAAGGCGGGUUCCUGGACAUUAACUGACGCUGAGGCACGAAGGCCAGGGGAGCGAAAGGGAUUAGAUACCCCGGUAGUC
rnacentral:rRNA from 1 species